UACGGGGGGGGCAAGCGUUGUUCGGAAUUACUGGGCGUAAAGGGCUCGUAGGUGGCCAACUAAGUCAGACGUGAAAUCCCCAGGCUCAACUUGGGAACUGCGUCUGAUACUGGAUGGCUUGAAUCCGGGAGAGGGAUGCGGAAUUCCAGGUGUAGCGGUGAAAUGCGUAGAUAUCUGGAGGAACACCGGUGGCGAAGGCGGCAUCCUGGACCGGCAUUGACGCUGAGGCGCGAAAGCUAGGAGAGCAAACGGG
rnacentral:rRNA from 1 species